GAUGAACGCUGGCGGCGUGCCUAAUACAUGCAAGUCGAGCGAACAGAUAAGGAGCUUGCUCCUUUGACGUUAGCGGCGGACGGGUGAGUAACACGUGGGUAACCUACCUAUAAGACUGGAAUAACUCCGGGAAACCGGGGCUAAUGCCGGAUAACAUGUUGAACCGCAUGGUUCUACAGUGAAAGGCGGCUUUGCUGUCACUUAUAGAUGGACCCGCGCCGUAUUAGCUAGUUGGUGAGGUAACGGCUCACCAAGGCAACGAUACGUAGCCGACCUGAGAGGGUGAUCGGCCACACGGGAACUGAGACACGGUCCAGACUCCUACGGGAGGCAGCAGUAGGGAAUCGUCCGCAAUGGGCGAAAGCCUGACGGAGCAACGCCGCGUGAGUGAUGAAGGUCUUCGGAUCGUAAAACUCUGUUAUUAGGGAAGAACAAAUGCGUAAGUAACUGUGCGCGUCUUGACGGUACCUAAUCAGAAAGCCACGGCUAACUACGUG
rnacentral:rRNA from 1 species